rnacentral:rRNA from 1 species
UACGAAGGGGGCUAGCGUUGUUCGGAAUUACUGGGCGUAAAGCGCGUGUAGGCGGGUCUUUAAGUCAGGGGUGAAAUGCCAAGGCUCAACCUUGGAACUGCCUUUGAUACUGGAGACCUUGAGUCUGGGAGAGGUGAGUGGAAUUGCGAGUGUAGAGGUGAAAUUCGUAGAUAUCGGGAGGAACACCAGUGGCGAAGGCGGCGACCUGGGCCAAUAUUGACGCUGAGGUGCGAAAGCGUGGGGAGCAAACAGG